GACGUAGGGCGCGAGCGUUGUCCGGAUUUAUUGGGCGUAAAGAGCUCGUAGGCGGCUUGUUGCGUCGACCGUGAAAACCCGCGGCUUAACUGCGGGCUUGCGGUCGAUACGGGCGGGCUGGAGUUCGGUAGGGGAGACUGGAAUUCCUGGUGUAGCGGUGAAAUGCGCAGAUAUCAGGAGGAACACCGGUGGCGAAGGCGGCAUCCUGGACCGACAUUGACGCUGAACGGCGAAAGCUAGGGGAGCAAACGGG
rnacentral:rRNA from 1 species